rnacentral:rRNA from 1 species
CCCUUAGAUGCUCUGGGCCGCACGCGCGCUACACUGGUCGAUGCAACGAGUUUCUUUCCUUGGCCGACAGGCCUGGGCAAUCUUUGAACAUCGAUCGUGAUCGGGAUAGAUUCUUGUAAUUUUUGAUCUUAAACGAGGAAUUCCUAGUAAACGCAAGUCAUCAGCUUGCAUUGAUUACGUCCCUGCCCUUUGUACACACCGCCCGUCGCACCUACCGAUUGAGUGGUCCGGUGAAAUCUCCGGACUGGCGUGAGUCGGAGCAAUCUGACAAACGCCGGAAAGUUGAUUAAACCUUACCAUUUAGAGGAAGGUGAAGUCGUAACA